UUCCAGACUCCUACGGGAGGCAGCAGUGAGGAAUAUUGGUCAAUGGGCGCGAGCCUGAACCAGCCAAGUCGCGUGAGGGAAGACGGUCCUAUGGAUUGUAAACCUCUUUUGCCGGGGAGCAAAAAGCGGUACGUGUACCGCAUCGAGAGUACCCGGAGAAAAAGCAUCGGCUAACUCCGUGCCAGCAGCCGCGGUAAUACGGAGGAUGCGAGCGUUAUCCGGAUUUAUUGGGUUUAAAGGGUGCGCAGGCGGAUUUUUAAGUCAGCGGUCAAAUCGUGGGGCUCAACCCCAUCCAGCCGUUGAAACUGGGGAUCUAGAGUGUGCGAGAGGUAUGCGGAAUGCGUGGUGUAGCGGUGAAAUGCAUAGAUAUCACGCAGAACCCCGAUUGCGAAGGCAGCGUACCGGCGCCCGACUGACGCUGAAGCACGAAAGCGUGGGUAUCGAACAGGAUUAGAUACCCUAGUAAG
rnacentral:rRNA from 1 species